rnacentral:rRNA from 1 species
GGACCCGCACAAGCGGUGGAGCAUGUGGUUUAAUUCGAAGCAACGCGAAGAACCUUACCUAGUCUUGACAUCCCAAUGACCGCAGAGUAACGUCUGCUUUCCUUCGGGACAUUGGUGACAGGUGGUGCAUGGUUGUCGUCAGCUCGUGUCGUGAGAUGUUGGGUUAAGUCCCGCAACGAGCGCAACCCUUAUCUUUAGUAGCCAGCAGUAAGAUGGGCACUCUAGAGAGACUGCCAGGGAUAACCUGGAGGAAGGUGGGGAUGACGUCAAAUCAUCAUGCCCCUUAUGACUAGGGCUACACACGUGCUACAAUGGUGAUAACAAAGUGAAGCAGCCUCGUGAGAGUGAGCAAAUCACAAAAAUGUCAUCUCAGUUCGGAUUGUAGUCUGCAACUCGACUACAUGAAGCUGGAAUCGCUAGUAAUCGCGAAUCAGAAUGUCGCGGUGAAUACGUUCCCGGGUCUU